rnacentral:rRNA from 1 species
GAUGAACGCUGGCGGCGUGCCUAAUACAUGCAAGUCGAGCGAACGGACGAGAAGCUUGCUUUUCUGAUGUUAGCGGCGGACGGGUGAGUAACACGUGGAUAACCUACCUAUAAGACUGGGAUAACUUCGGGAAACCGGCGCUAAUACCGGAUAAUAUUUUGAACCGCAUGGUUCAAAAGUGAAAGACGGUCUUGUUGUCACUUAUAGAUGGAUCCGCGCUGCAUUAGCUAGUUGGUAAGGUAACGGCUUACCAAGGCAACGAUGCAUAGCCGACCUGAGAGGGUGAUAGGCCACACUGGAAGUGAGACACGGUCCAGACGCCUGAGGGAGGCAGCAGUAGGGAAUCUUCCGCAAAGGGCGAAAGCCUGACGGAGCAACGCCGCGUGAGUGAUGAAGGUCUUCGGAUCGUAAAACUCUGUUAUUAGGGAAGAACAUAUGUGUAAGUAACUGUGCACAUCUUGACGGUACCUAAUCAGAAAGCCACGGCUAACUACGUG